rnacentral:rRNA from 1 species
GAUGAACGCUGGCGGCGUGCCUAAUACAUGCAAGUCGAGCGAACGGACGAGAAGCUUGCUUCUCUGAUGUUAGCGGCGGACGGGUGAGUAACACGUGGAUAACCUACCUAUAAGACUGGGAUAACUUCGGGAAACCGGAGCUAAUACCGGAUAAUAUUUUGAACCGCAUGGUUCAAAAGUGAAAGACGGUCUUGCUGUCACUUAUAGAUGGAUCCGCGCUGCAUUAGCUAGUUGGUAAGGUAACGGCUUACCAAGGCAACGAUGCAUAGCCGACCUGAGAGGGUGAUCGGCCACACUGGAACUGAGACACGGUCCAGACUCCUACGGGAGGCAGCAGUAGGGAAUCUUCCGCAAUGGGCGAAAGCCUGACGGAGCAACGCCGCGUGAGUGAUGAAGGUCUUCGGAUCGUAAAACUCUGUUAUUAGGGAAGAACAUAUGUGUAAGUAACUGUGCACAUCUUGACGGUACCUAAUCAGAAAGCCACGGCUAACUACGUGCCAGCAGCCGCGGUAAUACGUAGGUGGCAAGCGUUAUCCGGAAUUAUUGGGCGUAAAGCGCGCGUAGGCGGUUUUUUAAGUCUGAUGUGAAAGCCCACGGCUCAACCGUGGAGGGUCAUUGGAAACUGGAAAACUUGAGUGCAGAAGAGGAAAGUGGAAUUCCAUGUGUAGCGGUGAAAUGCGCAGAGAUAUGGAGGAACACCAGUGGCGAAGGCGACUUUCUGGUCUGUAACUGACGCUGAUGUGCGAAAGCGUGGGGAUCAAACAGGAUUAGAUACCCUGGUAGUCCACGCCGUAAACGAUGAGUGCUAAGUGUUAGGGGGUUUCCGCCCCUUAGUGCUGCAGCUAACGCAUUAAGCACUCCGCCUGGGGAGUACGACCGCAAGGUUGAAACUCAAAGGAAUUGACGGGGACCCGCACAAGCGGUGGAGCAUGUGGUUUAAUUCGAAGCAACGCGAAGAACCUUACCAAAUCUUGACAUCCUUUGACAACUCUAGAGAUAGAGCCUUCCCCUUCGGGGGACAAAGUGACAGGUGGUGCAUGGUUGUCGUCAGCUCGUGUCGUGAGAUGUUGGGUUAAGUCCCGCAACGAGCGCAACCCUUAAGCUUAGUUGCCAUCAUUAAGUUGGGCACUCUAAGUUGACUGCCGGUGACAAACCGGAGGAAGGUGGGGAUGACGUCAAAUCAUCAUGCCCCUUAUGAUUUGGGCUACACACGUGCUACAAUGGACAAUACAAAGGGCAGCGAAACCGCGAGGUCAAGCAAAUCCCAUAAAGUUGUUCUCAGUUCGGAUUGUAGUCUGCAACUCGACUACAUGAAGCCGGAAUCGCUAGUAAUCGUAGAUCAGCAUGCUACGGUGAAUACGUUCCCGGGUCU